GAUCCUGGCUCAGGAUGAACGCUAGCGACAGGCCUAACACAUGCAAGUCGAGGGGCAGCGCGGGAGAAGCUUGCUUUCCUGGCGGCGACCGGCGCACGGGUGCGUAACAGGUGUGCAAUCUGUCCAUAGUCGGGGGAUAGCCCAGCGAAAGCUGAAUUAACACUCCAUGUGAAUCGAAGCCGCAUGACUUUGAUUUGAAACGCAAGGACUAUGGGUGAGCACGCUUCUGAUUAGGUAGUUGGUGGGGUAACGGCCCACCAAGCCGACGAUCAGUAGGGGUUCUGAGAGGAAGGUCCCCCCACAUUGGAACUGAGACACGGUCCAAACUCCUACGGGAGGCAGCAGUGAGGAAUAUUGGUCAAUGGGCGAGAGCCUGAACCAGCCAAGUCGCGUGAAGGAUGAAGGUUCUAUGGAUUGUAAACUUCUUUUGUCCGAGGGUAAAAAAGGUCACGUGUGACUUCUUGCAAGUAUCGGACGAAUAAGCAUCGGCUAACUCCGUGCCAGCCGCAGC
rnacentral:rRNA from 1 species